AUGACAGCAAACACUGUGACAGAAGGCUCUCAAAAAGGUGCGCAUUCUGGGGGACUAUCAAAGAAAAUACUAGAAAAAAAAAGUAUUUAUGCUAUGUUUACUUCUCUAUCCUUAAUUCUUUUGUGUAUGAUGCAAAUGUGUACAGUUCGGUAUUAUUGGAACCUGUGCAGAACACAAUCGCGUGGCUGGCUGUGUGUGGCGUGCCAUCAUCUAAGGAGGGCAGCCUUCGCCAUCUUAGUCACAGCUGCCAUGAUGACCUACAAGAACCCCAUCCCUGAGGAUUGUGGAUGUUCCCUCCUGGAAUGGAUGAGGAAGUGCACUGCACCCGCAGCUGAGACCCAGCGCUCCCUGCUGCACCCUCACUGUGUAUACCUCAGCCUCUGCUGACAUCAACUCAAAUAGGUGGAAAGAUGACUGUGUCUCAGAGUUCAAAGCAGUGGCGAGUCAUCUCUGCGGGAGCAGUUUUAAUGGUUGCUGUGGCAUCCACAGGACCGGUCUCGCUACUCACACACAGUGCUGUAGCCAUGAGGCCCAGGCAGUGUGACCAAAGCUGGCUUCUGUCUUCCUUCCCUUCCCCAUGUUUUCAUAAUAAACUUCCAUCGGCUCAGGCCAACCAGCCUUGAAAUGUCAAGCACAUCACCUCAUACCAGAAGUUUCAAAUGUCCAAAACCCAGACAUAAAAUUAUCCCAAGCACAUGCAGACUCCCUCACAAUUACAGAGCUGUGUGUCUAGCUGAAGGUCUGUGCAUUUGUGGUAGUAAUAGCACACUAUAUGGGUAAGCAGGUUCUUUUGCAGCGAAGGAAAGCAAGGUUUUAUCAAAGAGUGGAAUAACGGCUCGUGGCAACACAGAGGAUCCCCAGUGGGUUGCCCCAGACUCCUUCAAGGGAAACAAUUAGAAACUGUGGAGAUAGUUCAGUGGGUAAAAACACUGGCUACAAAGCCUGAGGACCUGAGUUCAAGUCAUGGACCCCACAUGGUGGGAGAGUGUGACUGCCAUAAAUUGAUCUCUGAC
rnacentral:lncRNA from 1 species